GCCGGCCCAGAACAACAUAUUCUACAAUGACGCCAAGUGGAGCAGUAUGUGGUACAUUCACUGCAACGAUGACGUCCACAACUGCCAGUCCGACAUGAACAUCAUGGGGGCGUGGAAGAGGGGCUACACGGGUAAAAACGUGGUGGUGACCAUUCUGGACGACGGCAUCGAGAGGAACCACCCGGACCUCUUUCAGAACUACGAUCCUCAGGCCAGCUUUGACGUCA